UGUUAAAUAUUCCCGAAUGGAUACAUUCACCCCAAAUUGCAAAACCAUCUUCUCUGCCACAGAGAUGCACAAAAUUGAUUAAACCCUCGUAUCUCUUUCUCUAUCGUCGGCACCCAAAUCAUCUUGUUCUAUCGCCGGCCACCAUCACCAGGGUGCAAUUAUAUUUUCUAAUAGUGUUACCAUGAUUUUACCAAUUUAUGCUCAAGAGGUCCGAACUGAGUUUUCUUCGAAGCUACAAUCCGCAAAUAACUUGGCUUCAAAGUCAGUGUCUAUUGGAUGCAACUUGCUAGAGUCAUCAAGAAUCGACCGUGUUUGUUCAGCCUUGUCAAGACACUAUGAAUAGUGACCUGGUAUCAUCUGAUUCAUGUGGUGCAGAAAUAUUGAUUGAGAGAAUAAAUGCUUUCUUCCAUAUCUGAAUAUGAUGAUUCUAAAAUUGACAUUGUAUGGAACUAGGCUUGUAGAAGGAGAAACAACUAUUAUUGGAUUCUAGUGACGUAUUUUUCUUAUAUGUUGAUACUCUAAAUUUAUGUAUUAGUAGUUGCUUCUGUAUAUUAUGAAUUUAAUGAAAUAUUUUUAUGCUUUCUUGAA